rnacentral:rRNA from 1 species
UACGGAGGGUGCAAGCGUUAUCCGGAUUCACUGGGUUUAAAGGGUGCGUAGGCGGGCAGGUAAGUCAGUGGUGAAAUCCUGGAGCUCAACGCCAGAACUGCCGUUGAUACUAUCUUUCUUGAAUAUUGUGGAGGCAAGCGGAAUAUGUCAUGUAGCGGUGAAAUGCUUAGAUAUGACAUAGAACACCCAUUGCGAAGGCAGCUUACUACGCAUAUAUUGACGCUGAGGCACGAAAGCGUGGGGAUCAAACAGGAUUAGAUACCCUGGUAGUCCACGCCCUAAACGAUGGAUACUCGACAUACGCGAUACACUGUGUGUGUCUGAGCGAAAGCAUUAAGUAUCCCACCUGGGAAGUACGUUCGCAAGAAUG